CUAUUGUCUGAUUGACAGCCAGGAGGGUGUAACAAGGUUAAAGGAUCACUAUAGUGUCAAGAAAACAAACUCGUUUUCCUGACACUAACCCCUUCAGCCACUUACCUUUAUCCAGUGUUGGGCUCCUUCGGCGCUGGUGACUUCUCCUCCCCCGCUGACGUCACCUCCCGAGUGGAGCAAGAGCCAUGCGCGCAUUCAAACAGUCCAUAGGAAAGCAUUUCUCAAU